UCGGGUGUGGUGCACGGUGCACGGCAGCAGGGAUUUCGCUUUUAUCUUUCUACCCAACUCAGCUGCAGAACGGGGUUCGACUCCCCGCACUCGAA